GAGGCAGCCAGCAAUGGUCUCCUGCGAGGUGCUGCAUGGUUGUCGUCAGCUCGUGCCGUGAGGUGUCGGCUUAAGUGCCAUAACGAGCGCAACCCCUACCUACAGUUGCCAUCGCGUGAUGGCGGGCACUCUGUGGGGACUGCCUGCGCAAGCAGUGAGGAAGGCGGGGAUGACGUCAAAUCAGCACGGCCCUUACGUCCGGGGCGACACACGUGUUACAAUGGCAGGUACAGCGGGAUGCCACGGGGCGACCCGGCGCUGAACCCGAAAACCUGUCUCAGUUCGGAUUGGAGUCUGCAACCCGACUCCAUGAAGCUGGAUUCGCUAGUAAUCGCGCAUCAGCCACGGCGCGGUGAAUACGUUCCCGGGCCUUGUACACACCGCCCGUCAAGCCAUGGAAGCCGGGGGUGCCUGAAGUGCG
rnacentral:rRNA from 1 species